AGCAUGUUAGCUCAGGGGAAGAGCGCCGGGCUCAUAACCCGGAGGUACGUUUUCACUUUACCAACCAAUCAAAUCCGAUUCCUAACAAACAAUAUAGGUCCCUGGAUCGAAACCAGGACAUGCUA